rnacentral:rRNA from 1 species
AGCCCGCUCGCCGGAAGACCAAGGGUUCCUGUCCAACGUUAAUCGGGGCAGGGUGAGUCGACCCCUAAGGCGAGGCCGAAAGGCGUAGUCGAUGGGAAACAGGUUAAUAUUCCUGUACUUGGUGUUACUGCGAAGGGGGGACGGAGAAGGCUAUGUUGGCCGGGCGACGGUUGUCCCGGUUUAAGCGUGUAGGCUGGUUUUCCAGGCAAAUCCGGAAAACCAAGGCUGAGGCGUGAUGACGAGGCACUACGGUGCUGAAGUGACAAAUGCCCUGCUUCCAGGAAAAGCCUCUAAGCAUCAGGUAACAUCAAAUCGUACCCCAAACCGACACAGGUGGUCAGGUAGAGAAUACCAAGGCGCUUGAGAGAACUCGGGUGAAGGAACUAGGCAAAAUGGUGCCGUAACUUCGGGAGAAGGCACGCUGAUAUGUAGGUGAAGCGACUUGCUCGUGGAGCUGAAAUCAGUCGAAGAUACCAGCUGGCUGCAACUGUUUAUUAAAAACACAGCACUGUGCAAACACGAAAGUGGACGUAUACGGUGUGACGCCUGCCCGGUGCCGGAAGGUUAAUUGAUGGGGUUAGCGGUAACGCGAAGCUCUUGAUCGAAGCCCCGGUAAACGGCGGCCGUAACUAUAACGGUCCUAAGGUAGCGAAAUUCCUUGUCGGGUAAGUUCCGACCUGCACGAAUGGCGUAAUGAUGGCCAGGCUGUCUCCACCCGAGACUCAGUGAAAUUGAACUCGCUGUGAAGAUGCAGUGUACCCGCGGCAAGACGGAAAGACCCCGUGAACCUUUACUAUAGCUUGACACUGAACAUUGAGCCUUGAUGUGUAGGAUAGGUGGGAGGCUUUGAAGUGUGGACGCCAGUCUGCAUGGAGCCGACCUUGAAAUACCACCCUUUAAUGUUUGAUGUUCUAACGUUGGCCCGUAAUCCGGGUUGCGGACAGUGUCUGGUGGGUAGUUUGACUGGGGCGGUCUCCUCCUAAAGAGUAACGGAGGAGCACGAAGGUUGGCUAAUCCUGGUCGGACAUCAGGAGGUUAGUGCAAUGGCAUAAGCCAGCUUGACUGCGAGCGUGACGGCGCGAGCAGGUGCGAAAGCAGGUCAUAGUGAUCCGGUGGUUCUGAAUGGAAGGGCCAUCGCUCAACGGAUAAAAGGUACUCCGGGGAUAACAGGCUGAUACCGCCCAAGAGUUCAUAUCGACGGCGGUGUUUGGCACCUCGAUGUCGGCUCAUCACAUCCUGGGGCUGAAGUAGGUCCCAAGGGUAUGGCUGUUCGCCAUUUAAAGUGGUACGCGAGCUGGGUUUAGAACGUCGUGAGACAGUUCGGUCCCUAUCUGCCGUGGGCGCUGGAGAACUGAGGGGGGCUGCUCCUAGUACGAGAGGACCGGAGUGGACGCAUCACUGGUGUUCGGGUUGUCAUGCCAAUGGCACUGCCCGGUAGCUAAAUGCGGAAGAGAUAAGUGCUGAAAGCAUCUAAGCACGAAACUUGCCCCGAGAUGAGUUCUCCCUGAGACUUAGAGUCUCCUGAAGGAACGUUGAAGACGACGACGUUGAUAGGCCGGGUGUGUAAGCGCAGCGAUGCGUUGAGCUAACCGGUACUAAUGAACCGUGAGGCUUAACC